rnacentral:rRNA from 1 species
UACGUAGGGUGCGAGCGUUAAUCGGAAUUACUGGGCGUAAAGCGUGCGCAGGCGGUUGUGUAAGACAGGUGUGAAAUCCCCGGGCUUAACCUGGGAACUGCGCUUGUGACUGCACAGCUAGAGUAUGGCAGAGGGGGGUGGAAGUUCCACGUGUAGCAGUGAAAUGCGUAGAGAUGUGGAGGAACACCGAUGGCGAAGGCAGCCCCCUGGGCCAA